rnacentral:rRNA from 1 species
UACAGAGGUCUCAAGCGUUGUUCGGAUUCAUUGGGCGUAAAGGGUGCGUAGGCGGCGCGGUAAGUCGGGUGUGAAAUCUCGGAGCUUAACUCCGAAACUGCAUUCGAUACUGCCGUGCUUGAGGACUGGAGAGGAGACUGGAAUUUACGGUGUAGCGGUGAAAUGCGUAGAUAUCGUAAGGAAGACCAGUGGCGAAGGCGGGUCUCUGGACAUUUCCUGACGCUGAGGCGCGAAAGCGUGGGGAGCAAACGGG